UCUUGCAGGGGGGGAAUUCAGUCGGGGGCCACAUUGCUGCCAAAGUGCAGCCCUAACCCUGCCUCCCCUCUCCCCCCCCCAAGCUUUCCUCUGCCCAAGUGUGUCCCCAGAGCCCCGUGUCACCCUGACCCGCCCGGAUCCCCUACCCCCGUCCACUUUUGACUGCUCCCUUCCUGGAGAGAAUGGUGGAUUGCAAUUAAAGCUAUCGUCGCAAUUCAAGCCUCUUUGAAUUAUCACUUUUUUUCUUGAAAGGAUCUAAGGUCUCUGAAGAAACAAUUGGCCAUUGCUUUGAAGAAAAUAAGCAACACCAUUCAGAGCUACUGUAGCGUAAUGUAUGAACUUGGGCAGUCGAAAAAUCUUUUAUGAAAAAUGGUUACAGAUCUUGAAACUCCACCAUAUGUGCCAACAAAAGCUAUUGUGUUAGCAAGAAGGGGUUUAGGGGGGUUUUUUGUUUGUUUUUUUACCUAGACAAAGUUUGCUAGCUUCAAGCUUUGGGAACGCCUUUGUAUAGGCUGGCAGUGAUCCUAGAGCUGAUUCAUUUGAAAGGCAUAUGAAGGAUCUAGGAGAAAGUGGGGAUUCCCUUUUUUAUUAUUAUUAUUUUUUUAAUUUCUUGCAGCACCUGAAAAAGUUUCCCUCGCUCAAGGAAUGCAGCCUUGGCUGAGCGACGCCAAGAAGAGAACACGACACCUGUGAUUUAAUGCACUAAAGAUGUUGCUCUGCAUAGAUACGGGCCAGUUUAAGGAGAAGAGCAACAUCCCCAGAACUUUGAGCAGACCAUUUCUGUAAGGUUUUUGUUUGUGCUCAUUAAGGUGAAGAGUAGUGAUAAAGCAGGACUGAUAGUCCUAUUUUCUCUGUUACUAGUGACUAGAGUUUGCACCAUCCAGGUCAGAUGUAACGGGGAAACUAAGAAAAUCUGACACGAUCAUUGAUUUGCUCUCUUUGUACUCAUGUCAUCUGUACACACUAGAGAGAAAGAAAUGUGACUUAAAAAUUGCAAUUAACCAGCUUUACAGCAGGUUCCUUUCAUUGGGUAUUUAUUCCCAUCAAAUCUCAUUUCAUCCUUAAAGGAAAGUUCAUUCCGAGUUUUGAUUUAAACCAGAUAAUGCAAAAUAUUUUGUAUUCCUCCAUAAAAAGUGUUGCUUUAAAUUAUGAAUGUUAUAUUCCUAACUAUCCUCUUAUAGUUUCCCACAGAUUUUGGUCAGGUCUUGAAAGAAUGGCAAUUUUUCUAAUGUUUUAAAAGUAUUAACUUCCUUUCAAACAUUCUUUAACCUUUAAUGUUUUGUAACUUGAUGAAAAGGUCACUUUGUUCGGAGUGGAUGCAUCUGCUCCAUAAUUGUUCAGAUAUCAGGCAGAGUUCCAUCCGAACUCCAGAUUCUUUUAUGGGGAUUUUUUUAUAUACUAUUGUUAAGGUUACCAUGAGGAAUUAUUUUAAAGGCAGAAACCUGUAGACCAAAGGAUGCUCACACUUUAUUUAAUUUCACCAGCCUCAGAUGUUUGGGGCUAUAUGCAGGAAAUGACAGUUGCCAAGCUUUGAAAAGAAUAAACCAACCAGUUUCACCUCCCUCCAUUUUAAGAACUCUGAGGCAGAGGAGCAUUAAUACAUUAAACAGCUGAAUCUUUAGUCCUAUGUACAUGAGUAAUAUAAAAAUACUAAAGUAAUUACACUUUGCACUUGUCUUGCUUAAAAAAAAAAUCUCAAAACACUUUGCAAAGGGGGAGAUGGGGAGUUGGAGGCAAAGACAGAUUGAAUGACUUAACUAUGAGCACAGAGAGUCAAGAGAAGACCCUCACUGGAAAUGACUAGAAAAUGCUGUCUCUUAAGAAUCAGGCCCUGACUUUCCUAUCAUCAUAUUGCUUUAAAAAAUUGUAAUUAUAUUUUAAAUUACUUUCUGUGAAGGUACCAAGAGGUUUUCAGGCACAGGCACCUGUAAAUUAACAUUUAUUACUACUACUACUAAUAUUUUGAAUCUGUCUCUUUAGCCAGUUUUGAAAUAAAGGGCUUAUGCUCAUUCCCAUGCAAGAAGAUUAGCAUCAAUUGGAGUUACAUGUGUAAAUUCCUACGCAUGGAAAUGAGAAUGCACCUCUAAGGUGCAGAUUCUGACCUAAGAUAGGUGGGUGCAUAUUACCAUGCAUCUUAUAUGAGGCACAGUGGUUGCUUUUGCAAGAAAAGUGGUGAUACCUGUCUGCAUAUCUGUGAUCAGAAUGAGAGCCCUAAAUUGAUACAAUUAAUCCCUCUAAAAUAGGAGAGAUUUUCUUAGUUUUAUACAAUUCAAACAUCCAGAGAAUAAGUUUAAUUAAAAUUUGGCUAUACAUUUUUUAAAGAUAAAAAAAAAUAAAGAAAUGAGCUAAUUAUAUUGCUUAGUAUUCUGCUAUUUUUUUUUUAAUAACAUGCUUUUGUAGCCAGGCCAGUCCCUUGAGAACCAGUUCCUCAUUUAUAAGGAGGUCUCCAGUGGGAGUUAAAAAGAGGCUCUGUUAUAAGGAGAAUAUAUUUUGAAAGAGGAGCCAUGUAAAGAUAACCCUGCAUUGCAUAUAUCAGUAUGGAGGCUCAAAUAUUCCAGUGAGGUAAAUCUUCCUCAGCAAUAAUUUGCUAGUUUGUUUUUAUCACUGUUACUAAUGUCUAUGCAGUUGUUCUUGUAUUUUCAUCACUAUAAUGUUUUUUAACUAAGUUAUUUUUAAAAUUUGCUUUAUUUAAUGAACUUAAAGGUCAGUCUCCUUCCUUUUUGUAUGCAACUCCCAUUAAUAGUAGAGCUUAGAUUUUAAUGGGAGUUAAUGGGCUAAGUGUUCCCCUCCCACAGAAAAACCCCAGGAGAAGAAAACAGAAGUUAGGCAAGAUUAUUUCACCAAAUUGUUGCAGCAUUCUCCCCUCUGGGCACUUAGAUACUAAAGGUGAUGAGUUCCUGGAUAUGAUAGAGUGGGAGGAAAAAGAGAGAAAUUUGGAGGGUGAGGGGGGAGAGGACUUACAAAAGAAACAUAAGAAACAGUCUUUACUAUUUGCAGUUUUGAAAACUGGUUCUGUAGGAAAAUCAGCUAUCCCUGUGGAGUUCCUAACUCUCCACACAGCCCCACAAUCCUCUUUCCUGGCUUCCCAAGACCUCAGCUACAAUAGGCACGUUUGCCUUUCAGGGAAAAUGGAAGGGAAGAUAGUGCCAGAACAUCACUAAUUUUCAUAGCUAGUUCUACUCCCUAGCUUGUGGGGGAACAUGUUGCAUAGAGCGGCUAAUUCCCACCUUUCCUGUACAGGCCUCAUAUUGUAUUUUCUAGCUGCUUGGUGUUGACACAGAGGGGCUUCCACAGAUUCCUGGGAUGGAGGGGAGUAUACAGUUCCUCUGGGAAAAUAUUGUCUGUACUAAAGGCAUCAACCUGCAUGUUGAUCAUUUUGGAACUGAUUUUGCCAGUCCAGUGGGCCUAACUUUUCCACUCAAUGGCCGUGUCCAGACACCACACAUGCAGCUCAGGGCAUGCCUGCUACCUUGCAGCAUGGGGUGGGUUUUUGACCCAGGGAGAUCCAGGGGGUCAAAAAAAGCCCAUGCCAAAAAAAAAAAAAAAAGUGGGUGCCACACAUGGUGGCAGAGCAUGCUGCCCUGGCCAGCCAUAGCCAUGCUCCCAUUGCCGGCCAGGCUCCCAGCUGCGAGAGUGCCAUGGCUGCAGCUCCCUGAGGACCCCAGGUAAGGCUGUUGGGACCAACACAGUUGCUGGCCUCAGCCUCCCCUACCCCACCUGGGGUAACCUGCUGGGUGCCAGAGUGCACAUGGCAUGGUUGUUCCCUGGGGACAACCAGCAGCAGCACGAGGUGAGACUCUGCUACUUGUCCCCAGGGAAACAAAUGUCCACGCUCAUGAGGACACAGCUAGUAGGUUAGCGCUACUACACCAGAGGCAGGGCUCCUAACGCAACACCCUCUCCAUCUCAAAUAGGUUGUGAAGUGUGGAGAAAAGCACAAGCCCAAGUGCUUUCCUGCCCCCAACUAGGGACUUGGGACUAGCACUUUCUUCUGGGGAACAAAGGAAUCCUGCAUCUUCUGGGUUGCACAACCACCACAGCUACUCCGCUCUUCUCCCAGCAUACUUCUUUGUCCCAGUUGUCAUUUAUAAAGAAACAAACAACAGUAACACUUGAAGCAUGUCCUUCUCUACCCUCCUGACCUUUGGUUUAUAUUACAGAUUUCCCCUGUGGUAUGUGUAAAUUUUAUGCUAAUAUUAAGGAUUCACAUUUUCAGAAAACCUGAACUUCCCUAACUUAAUAACAACACUGUUACAGCAAGGUUUGUUUGUUUUUUAUCUAAUUUACUUUCCCUACUGUUUAUGCUAAAGGGGAAUGUUGAUUUUGUUUUUUAAUUGUUUUAAUUCUAUUUAUCUGGAAGUUUGAAAAAACAGUCAUAGUGGUCUUAUGUUUUGUAGAAGCUUGUUCAGAUAACUUAAAUCCAGAGCCAAAAUUGGUACCUUUUAAGCCCUGGAGCCAAAAUAAAUCUGGUGUUAUCUCCAGUAACUGGUGGAGUUGGACCCACUUAUACCAACAAUGAAUUUGAAGUCAAUGGAGUUACACCCUGGAUAAAUUCAGCCCUCUGGGUUCCAGUAAUACAUCAUUCAACAUAGAAUAAUGCCUGCUGGAAGCAGAAGCUGAUUGACUUUGGCAAUCAAUAAGUAUUGUAACUUAAUUUAACUCACCAGAAACAUACCUAUCCAGAUGUUUUUGUUAUAAAGUGAACACUGAUGUGGCUGAAUACAAAAAUGGAUGUGGUUAAAAUCAUGACCAGGACUAGAUUAAAGCAAUUUGGGGCUAUAGAUGAAUUAUAGGACACAGGGAACCUAUGCCCUUACUGUCCAUUUAGACUUCUGUGAGAUUUCCUACCUUAGAAGCAUAGCCCCUGCUAAGUCCCACCUUGGAGCUUCCCGUUCCCUACAGAAAGGAAGGAAUUAAAGCAAGGAUCCCUAGCCUACUAGUAAGCGGAAAACAUUUUCUUGUAUGGGUGAGACAAGCCCAUUUGUACUCUUUUCCUUGUGCUAUACAGGCUCCUCUACCGUGAUGGUGUCACCAGGACCUCUAGAACAGAUUGUCUCAGAGCUAACACCCAUUUUGACAUACAAGGCACGUCUACAUGAGAUGCUUACUGUGCGGUAGCCUAAUAACACUGUGCAGUAGGGGUGUGCAAAAUAGGCCUGAUUCAAUUUGGAUUUCGAUUCAACCUGAAUCAGGAACAGCGAUUCAAUUAGUUGAUUCGGAUCACUGUCCCUGAUUUGAUUCGACUGAAUCCAAAUCUGAAGAUCUGAUGCUGGUUCGGAGAAUGGACACAGCUUUAAAUUCUUUUUCUACAUACCUUGAGGUACCAGGUGUGGCUCGUGAAUGCUUCAGUGUUGGGGCAGAUGGAGCUUCCCACAGGAGCGUGGACCCUCUUCCCCCCCCCACAUGCUCAGCGGUGAACCUGGAAGUGGACCGGGGUCCAGAAGCACUUCCAGUCCACUUCCAGGUCCACUGGGAAGUGCACCGGGGGACUCCUUGCACCCCUCCCAGCUCAGCGAUCAGCUGCGGGGGUACCCCAGGUGCCCCCCCAGACCAGAAGGCAUCAGUUGCUGAGCCUGGGGGGGUGGGGUGCAUUCCCUGGAGGACCCAGACGUGAAUCAGAAGUGCUUCUGGUCCACUUCCGGGUCUGCUGCUGAGCGCACUAGGGAUCUCCCUGCACUCCUGUGGGACGCUUCAUGUGCUCCACCAUCGCAGCACUCAUGAGCUGUCUGGUACCUUGAAGUAUGUAGAAAAAACAUUUAAAGCUGUGUCUAUGGCCGAACUGUCAAAUCUUUCCAAAUCUCUCUGAAUCGAUUCGGAAGGUUCUGAUUUGAUUCAGAGAGAUUAAAGGGUCUCCUGAUUCAAUUCAGAUUCAGAGAUUCAGCCACCAAAUCAGGCCAAAUCUCCACCAAAUCGAAUCAGCGACUGAAGCUUCACACAGUCCUACUGUGUACCAGUCUAAAACCAUGCUAAUAACCUACUGUACAGUGUUAUUAGGCUACUGCGCAGUAAGCAUCACAAAAAACCAUGUGCCGGUGCUACUGCGCAGUAAAUGUAGUUACUGUGCAUUCAGUUAGUAUUUUAUUAAAGAAGUACUAAACUAAAUGUGCAGUAACUACUGUGCAUUAAUGAACACGUAGAUGCACUCACUGAGUACUUCACAUCUCUCUGAGGCAUUUUUUCAGGCUCUUUCCAGAUUCAAGCAGACAUCAGUUACAUUGAGGUCACUUUUUCUUUUCUUUUUUUUUUUUUUCUUCCAUGUCGAGAGCAGAUAAGAAAUUUUGUUUUGGUGAAGGAAAUCCAGGUAAAGAAAGCUAAGAUUCAUCAUAUCUCCCAGUUACAGUUUAUGUACAGAACUAUCAUGCCUAUGACUUAACCAGUCCUGACUAUAACAAAUAAUAAUGGGUCUGAUCUUGCUUUCAUUGCACUUUCAACUCUGCCAUCAACUUCAGGAUACAUCUGAGUGCAUGGGGAAUGAAGGAUCAGAUCUAGAGUCUGAAGUUAUGCAUCCUAAAAUAGAGGGUAAUCACACCUUAUAUGUCAGGGUUUAAACUGACUGUCACAGUGCCUGGAAGAGAUUCUACUUCCUGGCAUAAUUGUCCAAGUGCUCUGAAGGCUUAAAGAGCUUCCAUUUUAAUGAAGCAUUAAGUAUAAGUUACUGCCAAACACAAGGUCCUGGACUGGGAAGAACAAUGCUGUAAUUCUGUAUAGCAAAUAUUCCUAAAUUCAAAUACACUGUAUUAUUUCUAUAUACUGCAUUAAUUAAUACACUCUGUUUUAUACACAUAACUGCUUUGUUUUAUUUUAUUUUUUCUGACACAUAAGGGAAGAGAUAACAGAAAGAUGUACUGGUUUUUUAUUUUAAACAGAGUAUAUUCUAUAUAUUAUCCUCUCAAGCAAUUGAAUAAAUAUCACAGGCUUUAUAGAUCUAGUAGCCUUUCCAGUGAACAACGCAGCAGUCAUGCUUCACAGAAAAGGGAUAACAUCCUAGAGUGCAGCUGAUAAGAGCAACAAUUUACAAAGCAAGAGAUCUGUUAUGCAGUGAAAGCUUUAUUACCAUGACUUGAUGUUACAUCUACAACACAUAAGGGUUAAUCAUUGCAGCAGUUUGCAGCUGGUUUGUGCUCUCAGGGGAGUCAUAGCAAUAGACUUCUGUGUGUAAGACAAGGUCAGCUUUCCUAUCCCUGGGUCAGCGGGUCAUGUGAUAACAGAACUCUGAAACUUAGACUCCUAAGAGACACAGGUGCCAAACCCAUUUUGUGGUCUGUUGUAGAGCUCUUCCUGUGGUUUUUAUUCUACUACAUAAAAACACAUACAUAGCUCUGUGGUAUAUAAUUGGAUGGAGAGUUUUCAGAGCUACCCAUCAGUGUAAGUUUUCUGUGGCAGCAGUGGGUUCAUAAGAUUGCUGGGUACAUGUAACAUUUCACGGGAGACUUGUUCUUAGUGGACUGAGACAACACAGCAAUAGGUGCUGAGAAUAAUGGCCAAAGCUCAUGUGAAUUGUUCAAAGGGUCUCAACGGUUUCAAGGAGACUGCUCUGUCCAGCAGGACUGGACCCUAAUAUUUUAUUAAUAUUUAUCUCCUAUUGCUGCAACAGAAAAAAAAAAUCAAAUAAGCAAAACUUUAAUCCUCAAAUGCAACUGUAAUCUUCAGAUUGGUUAGGCUUAUCAAAGAGCUAAUAUUUAUUUUCAAAGACAGGCUGCUAGGAAUGAUCAGCCAAAAUGGAAACCUAUAAGUGAAGGGUUGUAAGUUUAUUGGACAGUAUUGUCUAUAUUUAUAGUUUCUGCUUAACCCAUAUUUCUGUUUUUAUAUGCAUGUGUCAAAAAUUAAUAUAUGGCAAACUUCACCAACAGUUUUAAGAGAUCUUAAAAUAUAAUAAAAUCAAUAAAUGAUGUUCUGGCAUAAAUGUUUCUGUAGCUGAGGGUGGUCAGGUUCAAAGGGCAAGUUCUGACCAUUUCUCUUUCCCGCCCUGCUGUUGGAGUAAGACCCUCCCCUCAACUUCAAAUCACUAGGGAGAGGGUAAUUUAAGCUAUACUUGAUGUAACCUAUACAUCACUGUCUCCUGCACCAGCUUUAAAAUUAAACUCUGAUGUACAAAGUUAAACAAAAAUGAGAUAAAAAUUGGCAGGGGUUGAAGAGGGUCAAAGUAGUCAAAACACAAGGUAGACUAUUGCUUCUUUUGAUUUAUGUUAUUCUGUACACUAAAAAAAAAUAAAAUUAUAACUCUCA